GAGAAACCCUAUGAAUGUAAGCAAUGUAGUAAAUCCUUUGUUCGUCAUGCUUCACUUGAAAGACAUGAAAGAAUUCAUACUGGAGAGAAAACUUAUUUUGUAGACAAUGUGGUAAAACCUAUUCACAAUCAACUUGCCUAAAACUACAUAAAAGAGCACAUACUAAAGAGUAAUCCUAUGAAUAUAACUAAUAUGGUAAAGACUUUACAAUGAUAUUGAAAGGUAUGGUGGUUUAAAUAUACUUGGCCCGUGGCAAGUGGCCAUAUUAGGAACUAUGGCCUUUUGGAGUAGAUGUAGCAUUUGAGAAAGUCUGUCACUGUGGGCUUGGACUCUGAGAUCCUAUGCUUAAGCUCCACCCAGAGCAGAAGAGUCUUCUGGCUGCCUUCUGAUCAAGAUGUUGAAUUCUCCUUUCUUCUAGCACCAAACCUUUGAAUCUGUACAAUACCCCCAAUUAAUGUCCUUUAUAAGAGUUGUCUUGGUCUUGGUAUUUUUUUUCACCUCAAUAAAACCCAAAUUAAGACGAACAGCAUAGCCAGGCAGUGGUGGCACAUGGGUUUAUUAAUCUCAGCACUUGGGAGGCAGAGGCAGGUGGAUUUUUUAGUUCAAGGUCAGCCUGGUCUACAGAAUGAUUUCCAAGAUAGC